rnacentral:misc_RNA from 1 species
CGGACUACCAGGGUAUCUAAUCCUGUUCGCUCCCCACGCUUUCGCUCCUCAGUGUCAGUAUUGGCCCAGAGACCUGCCUUCGCCGUUGGUGUUCCUCCUGAUAUCUGCGCAUUCCACCGCUACACCAGGAAUUCCAGUCUCCCCUACCAAACUCUAGUUUGCUCGUAUCGAAUGCAGGCCUGAGGUUGAGCCUCAGGUUUUCACAUCCGACGUGGCAAACGACCUACGAGCUCUUUACGCCCAAUAAUUCCGGACAACGCUUGCACCCUAUGUAUUACCGCGGCGGCUGGCACC